AUUGAACGCUAGCGGCAUGCCUUACACAUGCAAGUCGAACGGCAGCACGGGGGCGAACCCUGGUGGCGAGUGGCGAACGGGUGAGUAAUGCAUCGGAACGUGCCCAUCGAUGGGGGAUAACUGCGCGAAAGCGUUGCUAAUACCGCAUACGACCUUCGGGUGAAAGCGGGGGACCUUCGGGCCUCGCGCGAUUGGAUGAGCCGAUGCCGGAUUAGCUAGUUGGUGGGGUAACGGCCUACCAAGGCGACGAUGCGUAGCCGACCUGAGAGGGUGGACGGCCACACUGGGACUGAGACACGGUCCAGACUCCUACGGGAGGCAGCAGUGGGGAAUUUUGCGCAAUGGGGGAAACCCUGACGCAGCAACGCCGCGUGGAGGAUGAAGUCUCUUGGGACGUAAACUCCUUUCGAUCGGGACGAUUAUGACGGUACCGGAAGAAGAAGCCCCGGCUAACUUCGUG
rnacentral:rRNA from 1 species